GCCACCCAUAGCUCAGUGGUAGAGCAUCUGCCUUGCAAGCAGAAGGUCCCAGGUUCAAUCCCUGGUGUCUCCA